rnacentral:tRNA from 1 species
GUCGGCGUAGCUCAGCUGGUAGAGCGCCUGCCUUGUAAGCAGAGGGUCGCGGGUUCGAUUCCCGCCGCCGGCU